AUUAUAUUUCCAUCAGUUGUCGAACAGCUUCUUAUAAAUCAGGAUGAAUAUUUCAUGGCUAUUAUUAUUAUGCACUCUUUGGCAUUUUGCUAGAGCACUACCUAUUAAAUGCUUUAAAAACUCUUGUGAAGAGUUGCUCCCAUAUGAUACUUUUGAUGACGUAAAUUAUAGGAGUGCUUAUACAAAUAUUCCGCCACCAAGGCCAAAAUAAUAUUCCAUUGGAUAUUAUAAUACAUCAUAUUUAAAAUCGGCUCUUAUUUGAUAUUUGUAAACCACUUAAAAAUAAACUUUUUUAAAUGAA